rnacentral:rRNA from 1 species
GAUGAACGCUGGCGGCGUGCCUAAUACAUGCCAGUCGAGCGAACGGACGAGAGGCUUGCUUCUCUGAUGUUAGCGGCGGACGGGUGAGUAACACGUGGAUAACCUACCUAUAAGACUGGGAUAACUUCGGGAAACCGUAGCUAAUACCGGAUAAUAUUUUGAACCGCAUGGUUCAAAAGUGAAAGACGGUCUUGCUGUCACUUAUAGAUGGAUCCGCGCUGCAUUAGCUAGUUGGUAAGGUAACGGCUUACCAAGGCAACGAUGCAUAGCCGACCUGAGAGGGUGAUCGGCCACACUGGAACUGAGACACGGUCCAGACUCCUACGGGAGGCAGCAGUAGGGAAUCUUCCGCAAUGGGCGAAAGCCUGACGGAGCAACGCCGCGUGAGUGAUGAAGGUCUUCGGAUCGUAAAACUCUGUUAUUAGGGAAGAACAUAUGUGUAAGUAACUGUGCACAUCUUGACGGUACCUAAUCAGAAAGCCACGGCUAACUACGUG